GUCUCUCGCUCCCACCAGAGCUUGGAAUCCGUCUCUGCUCUUCUGCAUUCUCCACCUCGGGAGCCCCUGGGGACUCUGUGACGGCCUCUGUUGCCCUGUGAUCUGCAGGUCCGGAGAGACGCACAGCUAAGAUGUCAGGACAUCCUGGAAGCUGGGAAAGGGUCUUGCCAUCUCUAAGCUGGACCUGGUGACCUUUUUGGAGGGAAAGAAAGAGCCCUGGACUGUGAAGAGUGAGGAGACCAUAGCUGCACAGCCAGUCCAGAUGUAUAAUCUCAUCCCUGAACAUUUCUGAUGGUGUGAUUAUGACAUGUGACUUUAUCUGGCAACAGAGUGAGUUGUUGCUCCCGCCUGAGCCCAGCCCCCAGAAAGGAUUGUGACAUAUCGUUGGACCCAGAAUUGAGGUGCAGUUUUGACACACUUCUGUCUAGCAGCUGAGUAUUGUGAUCUUCAGAACUGGCCCAGCCUACAAAUAGGAUUGUGCCACACUGCUGGACCCAGCACCUAGAUGAUGUAACUAUUCUCCUGCCUUGGUGCUACUCAAAAAAGACAUUAACAUAUCUCAGAGCCUUGCACCCAGGUAAUGUGAGUCUCCUCUCCUGCCUUGCUGCUGCACACAGAAGCGGGUUAUGUACAGGAUUGUUAAUCUCAUUUGGACCUUCCUGCACCUAUGAUUGUGACACAUGCCUCUGUGUAGAACCCAAGUGAGUUUUCUCUCCUGUUUGGAUUUAACCCACAGAUGGAAUCGUGACAUAUCGCUGCACCAGAAACUAGGUGAUGUGACUCCAUUUCCUUGCCUCUGUGCUUUCCACAUUAGGCAUUGGGACAUAUCACUGGGCCUUGCAUCCAGGUGAUGGGAGUUUUCUUUUUCUUUCUUUCUUUCUUUCUUUUUUUUUUUUUUGAGACAGAAUUUCGCUCUUGUUACCCAGGCUGGAGUGUAAUGGUGCAAUCUUGGCUCAAGGCAACCUCCGCCUCCUGGGUUUAAACAAUUCUGUCUCAGCCUCCCAAGUAGCUUAGAUUACAGGCAUGCGCCACCACGCCUGGCUAAUUUUUGUAUUUUUAGUAGAGACAGGGUUUCUCCAUGUUGGUCAGGCUGGUCUCGAACUCCUGACCUCAGGUGAUCCACCUGCCUUGGCCUCCCAAAGUGCUGGGAUUACAGUUGUGAGCCACCGUGCCCGGCCAGUGAUGGGAGUUUUCUCUCCUGCUUUGGUGCUGACCACAGUGAGCAUUGUAAAAUAUUGCUGCCAUCACCCCUAGAUUAUGUUAACUCUCCUCUGCUUUGCCCACGUGGUUCACUGUGACAUAUUACUGGGUCUAAAACCCAGAAAAUGUAACUCCCUUAUUUAGGUUCUGCCUGCAGGAGCCAUUGUCACACAUCUCUGUGCUCACCACCCAGGUGAUGUGACUGCCUUUUACUGCCUAGUUCCUUCUCACAAAACAUCUUGUGGCAUACUGCUAGGCCCAGUACCUGGCUGGUGUGACUCCUCUCUUCUUUCUAGGUUCCACCUGCAGCAAAGAUUGUAACAUACCGCUGGGCCCAACAGCAUAAUGACGUUAUUCUUUUGCCUUGGGCCUGCCCUCAGAAGGCACUAUAAAAUAUUCAUGGCCCCAGCGCCAAGGUGAUGUGUGUCUCCAGCCUGGAUCCUGCCCACAGAGGGCAUUAUGACAUAUCUCUUGGCCCAUCAGAUGUUUAAUAUUAUCUCCUCCCAUUUCCUACCCUGUGUUUGCCUGUAAGAGACAUUGUCACAUGUUCCUGGGCCCAGCACCUAGGUGAUGUCUUCCUGAGACCUGUCCAUAUGGGGAUUGUGAUAUAUUGUGUGGCCCAGAACUUACUUGAUGCGACUCUCCUCUCAUGACUAGGCCCUGCUUACAGGUGUGAUUGUGACACACAGCUUGGCCUAGCCCCUAAGUUAUGUUACUCUGCUCUUAUUCUUCAGUCAUUUUCACAGGGGGCAUUGUGACAUAUUGCUAGACUGAGAACUUAGGUGAUGUGACUCUCCUCUACUGCUUGGAAUAUUCCCAAAAAGAGAGUUUGAUAUAUUGCUUAGCCAGGAUCCUAGGUGAUGUUACUCUUUUCUCCUGCCUAAACCCUGCAUACAUUAUGUAUUUUGGCACUGGGGCCACAACCUAGGUGAUGUAACUCUCCUGCAUGGGCUUUGCCUACAGGGGUAUGAUGAUGUUUCUUUUCUUUCAUCACCCAAGUGGUGUGACUCUCCACUUAUGCCUGGGUCUUGAUGAAAGAGGAAUUGUGACAUAUCCCUGGCCCUAGCACUUAGGUGAUGUAACUUGCCUUUAUUGCCAGGGCAUGGCAUAUUAUGAAUAUUGGACGUAUCUCUGGGACUGACACCUAGGGGAUGAGAGGUUCCUGCCUUGGCCCUGCCCACAGGAGGCUUUGUGGCAUGUCUCUGGCCUCAUUACCUAGAAAGAUGUGACUCUUCUCUUCUACCUGCAUUCUUCCCACAGAGAAGAUUGUGACAUCACUGGAUCCAGCAAUUAGAAAAUGUUUCUCUCCUGCCUGAGCCUUGCCCACAGGAAUAUUGUGACAUAUCCUUGGGCUCAGCACCCAGGUGAUGGAACUCUGCCACCUGUGCCCUGUCUACUUAGGCUAUUGUGAAGCUGGUUUCAAUACCCAGGUGAUGUAACAUUCCUGCCAGGCCACUGCCUUCCAGGGAUAUUGUUACGUACCUUUGUGCCAAUCACCAAGGUGAUGUGAAUCUUUUCACCUGCCUAGUCCUUGUUCACUAGGGGAUAAUGAUAUCUAUUGCUGGUUUCAGCACCAAGCUGAUGUUACUUGCCUCUUCUUCACAGAUUCUGCUCACAGAAAAACUAACACAUCACUAGGCCCAUCAGCGAAAUUAUUUUGCCUGGCCCUGCCCUUAAAAGACAUUGUGACAUACUACAGUGCCCAGCAUCAAUGUAAUUUGUCUCCUGCCUAAACCCUGCCUACUGGGGGCAUUGUGACAUAUCUCUUGGCCCAUCAACUAUUUGAUGUGACUCUACUUUCUUACCUGGGCUUUGCCAAUAGUAGAGCUUGUGACCUAUCUCUGGGCCCAGCACCUAGAUGUUAUGACUCUCCCGCCUGGUCCAUGCACACAAAAAAGAGAGUGACUUAUACUAGGAUCAACACACAAAUGAUUCUAUUCUUCUGCAUUAUCCCAGCCCACAUGGCUUAUUGUGACAUCUCUAGGUUCAUCAUCUAGAUGAUAUGACUCUCCUUCCUGGGAACUGUCCAUAAUGAAGAUUGUGACACAUCACUUGGCCCAGCACCUAUGUGAUAUGACUCCUUUCUUUUGCCUGGGCCUAUCAGUUUGGGUGAUUGUGUCAUAUAGCUUUACUCAGCACCUUGAUUAUGUGACUCUCCUGUUUCUCCUGAGUCCUACCCACAGAGGUCAUUGCAACAUAUCCCUGAGCCCCUAAUUUAGGUAAUUUGACUCCUGCCUGGGCCCUACCCUCAUUGAUUUUUGUGACAUAGUUUUUGACUCAGCACCUAGGUAAUGUGAUUCUUCUCCACUGCUUGGACUCUGUCACAGAAGGUAUUGUGAUGUAUCACUGGGGCUGACACCUAGGUGAAGGUACUGUCUUCUCCUGCCUGGGCCCUGCAUAAAUUGUAUAUUUUGACAUUUCACUAGGUUCAACACAUGGGUGAUUCAACUCUCUCACAUGGACCGUGAGCAUGGGGUUAUUGAGACAUUUAUUUUUGUUCAUCACCUAACCGAUGUGACUCCUCUCUGAUCCCUGUCAAAAGGAAAGAUUGUGACAUAUCACUGGAACCAGAACUUAGGUGAUGUGACUCUUCUGUCUAACAACCACAUAUUUUGGUUAUUGUGACAUUUCACUGGGCCAAACACCUCAGCCCUGUCCACAGGGGUUCUUGUGACAUAUAUCUGCAUCCAUUACAUAAAAGAUGUGAUGCCUUUUCUACCUGCACCCUCCCCACAGGAAAGGUUGUAACACACUGCAGGGCCCAGCCACCAGGUGAUAUGUCUCUCCUGCAUGUGCAUAACUUUCAGGAGAAAAUUGUAACAUGCCACUGGUUGAAAACCCAGAUGAUGUGACUCUCCUGCCUUUUCACAGCCCUCAGGGAAAAAAAUUACAUAUCAUUUGCCCAGCAUCCAGGUAAUGUCACUCUCCUGGGUGGUUUGUGCCAACAAGUUGGUUGGUAACAUAUAUCUCGGCCCAGCUCACAGGUUUGAUGGUGACUCUAAUACCUCCUACCAGCCAAUAGAAGAGACACUGUCUCUCACAGGUAGGCUUAGAAAGAGGAGUAAAAUUCCUGGCUGGGUGUGAGCCUCCUUGCCUAGACUAAGGCACAUAAUUUGCAAAAGAAAUUGAGGCUCUUAUGCACAAAUCCAGUCCACCAUUGAGACUGACCCCUGUACUUAGACCCAACAUGCAGGAAGUGUUGACUGUCAUUCCUUGACUCAGGACAUGAGUGUAAUUGUUAAUGUCAUCACAAGACCUUUCUACAAGUGUCAUGUGACAUACAUCUUAGCCCAGCAUCUGAGUUAUUUGUCUUUUCCUGGGACCAGUCCACAGUGCCAUAUCACCGGGCCCAUACCCUUGGUAAUGUGAUUCUAUUCUGCUUUGAUAAAGCGCACAGUGGUCAUUGUGACAUUGCUUGGUGUUGCACCCAGGUGGUGUGAGUCGGCUCUUCUGCCUUGGUGCUGCCCACAGAUGUAUUGUGACAUAUUGCUGGGCCUAUGUUAUGUUUAUCUUUUGCUUGUGCCCUAAACACAUAGCCUGAGUCCAACGACCAGGUGAUGUAACACUUCAUCCUGGACCGGUCUACAGAGGGGAUUGUAAUAUAUGUCUUCACCAAUCACCCUGGAAAUGUGACUUACUUUUCCUGCCUGUCCCUAAUCACAGGGGGUACUGGAACAUAUUGUUGGGCCCAGCACGUAGCUGAUGUGACAAUUUUUUUUUGGGUUCUGCUCACAAAAGAGAUUAUGACAUGUGAUUGUGCCUAACACUAAGGUGAUGUUACUUUUUUUUUUUUUUUGCUUUGGCUCUGCCCUUAGAAGGCAUUGAGACAUGGCUGGGCUCAGCACUAAGAAGAUGUGAGUCCUCUGCCUGAAGCCUGACCACAGGGAGCAUUGUGACACAUUUCUUGACCCAUUACAAUCUCUUCUACGGGCAAAGCUGAGGUAAAUGCCCGUUUUACCUAUGUGAUGUGACAUUCCUCUUCUGCCUGGGCCAUGCCCACAGAAUAGAGUGACGUAUUGGUGGGGCAAGCAAAACAGUGGUGUAAUUAUUCUGCCUGGUCCCUGUACACAGGAGUCACUGUGAUACAUGUUUGGGCCUCCCACCUAGAUGAUGUGACUUUUUUCUUCUGGAGUUUGUCCACAGUGGGAAUUGUGAUAUGCCACGUGACAUAGCUCCUAUGUGAUGUGACUCUUUCUCAUUCUUGGCCUCUUUCCACUGGGGUUACUGGAACAUAAAGCUGAGCCCAGCUCCUAGGCUGUGUCUCUCCUUUCUAAGCCCUACCCACAAAGGACAUUGUGACGUAUCUCUAGGCUUCUCACCUAGGUAAUAUUACUUUUUUACCUAGGCCCACCCCUCAGGGGUAUUGUGAAAUACUGCUGGACCAACAUGCUAGAUGAUAGGAGUCUCUGCUACUGCUUGGGGUGUGAUUAAGAGGAAAUUGUGAUGUGCAUUUGGGUGCAUCCAGCACCUAAGUGAUGUUAACUCUCCUCUUGUGCCUGAGACCUGCAUGCAAUAUGUGUUUUUGUGUUUUUUGUUUGUUUUUGAGAUGGAGUUUUGCUCCUUUUGCCCAGGCUGGAUUGCAAUGGUGCAAUCUCAGCUCACCACAACCUUCAUCUCCCAGGUUCAAGCAAUUCUUCAGCCUCAGCCCCCUGAGUAUCUGGGAUUACAGGCAUGUGCCACCAAGCCCGGUUAAUUUUUCUAAUUGUAGUAGAGAUGGGGUUUCUUCAUGUUGGUCAGGCUGGUCUCGAACUCCCAACCUCAGGUGAUCCACCGACCUCAGCCUCCUAAAGUGCUGGGAUUACCGGUGUGAGCCACCGCACCUGGCUGGCAUCAUGUAUUUCAACAUGUCUCUGGGUCCAACAACAUUAUGAUGAGACUUUCCUGUGUGGGCUCUCACACAGAACUAUUCUAACACAUCUUUUCAUUCAUUAUCUUGGCGAUUUGACUUUUCUGUUCCGCUUGAGCACUGCCAAAAGAAAAAUUUGUGGCAGAUCACUGGACCUAGCACCUAGGUGAUGUGGCUCUUCUCACUUGCCUGAGACCUGCAUAUUUUGGUUAUUGUGACAUAUCACUGAAACAAACACCUAGGGGUUGGAAGGCUUCUGCCUGAGCCCCUCCCACAGAGGGCCUUGGAAUAUAUUUUUUUAUCCAUCACCUGGGAGAUGAAACCCUCUACUUCUACCUGCCUUCUUCCCAUAGAGAAGAUUGUGAUAUAUUGCUGGGCCCAGGAACCAGGUGUUUUGUCUAUCUUUUCUGGGCUUUGCCUACAGUGAGCCUUGUGACACCCAGGUGAUCAUACUCUUCUUCCUAUGCCCUGCUUUCAGGAGAGGAUUAUAACAUCUCUGGUUGAGAACUCUGUGAUGUGACUCUCCUUGCUGGUGCAUGCUGUCAGGGAAGAUUGUGACAUAACCCUGGCUCAGCACACAGUUGAUGUGACUCUUGUGCUUGUUCUCUACCCACAGGUGGAAUUGUGACAUAUAACUUGGCCAAGCACACAGAUGUAAUGGUGUGGUGACUCUCAUACCUAGAACUGGGACCUGUGCAGGAUUGUUAAUUCAUUACUGGACAUUCCUGUGGGUGUGAUUGUUACAUAUGCCUAUGUUCAGCACCCGAGUGAUUUGAUUUUGCUGCCUGGUCUCAGUCCAAAUGUAAGAUUGUGAUUUAUCGCUGAAUCCAGCACCUCGGUGAUUUGACUCUCCCUUUUUUUGUGGGAGGGAUCCUGCAAAUUUUGGGUAUUGUCAAUUAUUGCUGAAUCCUGUACCCAUGUUAUGACUCUCCCAAAUGUGCCUUACCUGUUGUGGCACAAUAUAUCACAUUAGACAUUGUUAAAUAUUGUUGGGUUCAACACCUGGGUGAUGGAUGUAACUUUUUUUCUGGGCCUGCCUACAGGGGACCUUGUGACAUAACUCAAUGCCCAUCAUCAUGGUAAUGUUACUCUCUUCUCCUGCCUGAUCUCUGCUCACAGAGAAAUUGUGACACAUCACUGGCCUAGCAUCUAGGUGAUGUGACUCUCCUCUUUUUUUCAGGCUCUGCAUAUUUGGGUAUUGUGACAUAUUGCUGAACUCAACACCUAAGGGAUGGGAGUCUCCUACCUAGGCCCUUCCUACAGGGGACAUUGUGACAUGUCUCUGCAUUCCUCAUCCAGGAGAUGUGACUCUCCUUUUCUGCCUACACCCUGCCUACACAGAAAGUUGUGGCAUAUUGCUGUGGUCAGCAACCAGAUGAUAUAUUUCUCCUGCCUGGGUCUUUAUUACAGGAAAGAUGAUUGACAUAUUACUGGGCCCAGCAUCCAGAUGAUGUGACUCUCUUCUUCUGUUGGUCCUUGCUUACAGGGAAACUGUAGCAUAUUGCUACACCCAACACCUAGCUUAUGUGAUUCUUCUUUUAGGUUUGCCUUCAGGGAACAUUGUGACAUAUUGCUGGGCCCUGCACUGAUAAUUUGUGACUCUUCUGCCUGUGAUUUGCCCACUUGGGGCAUUGUGACAUAUUGCUGGGUUUAACACUCAGGUGAUGUAACUUUUAUGCCUAGGCCUUGCUUACAGGAGGCAUUUUGAAAUGUCUUUGUGGCUGGGCAUGGUGGCUCAUGUCUGUAAUCCCAGCGCUUGGGGAGGCCAAGGUGGGCAGAUCACAAAGUCAGGAGUUCGAGACCAGCCUGGUCAACAUGGUGAAAACCUGUCUCUACUAAAACAAAACAAAACAAAACAAAACAAAACAAAACAAAACAAAACAAAACAAAUAAAACCACAAAAAUCAGCCAGGUGUGGUGAUUGGUGCCUGUAGUUGCAGCUACUCAGGAGGCUGAGGCAGGAUAAUCGCUUAAGUCCAGGAGGUGGAGGUUGCAGUGAGCUGAGAUUGCACCACUGCACUCCAUCCUGGGCAACAGAGUGAGACUCCAUCUCCAAAAAAAAUAAAAUAAAAUAAAAUAAAAAUACAAAUGUCUUUGCACCAAUCCUACAGGUGAUGUGACUCUCUUGUGUUACCUGGUCUCUGCCCCCAGGAAGAAUUGUGACCUUUCACAGCGUAUAGCUAAUUUUUUUCUUUUAUUUCUUAGUUUUUCUCCUGCAGGAAAGAUUGUGAAAUAUUACUGAACUAAGCACCAAAGGGAUAUAUUUUUUUUCUUGGACCUGCCCAUGUAAGACCUUGUGACAUAUUGCUGGGCCCUACACCUAGAUGAUGUGAGUUUUCUGCCCGUCAACUAUUUUAUGUGACUCUCCUCUCUUAUCUUCACUUUGUCCAUAGGUUAGCUUUUAAUAUACCUUUGGGCCUGGGUCAUGCUAAUAGAAGCAAGAGUGACUUAUUGUUGGGCCCAGCACACAGGGGAUGUGAUUCUUCUGCUUGGUUCCUGCCGAAAUGGUCAUUGUGACAUAUCUAUGGGUCAGUUGGCUAAAUGACAGGACUCUUUUUAUCUUUCUGGAGCAGUCCACAGUAGGAAAUUUGACAUAUCGCUGGGCCCAGCACAUAUCUGAUGUGACUCUCCUCUCAUGCCAAGGCCUUGCCUACUGUAGUGAUUGUGCCAUAUAGCUGGGCCCAGCUCCUACGUUAUCUGACUCCUGUUUUCUUCCUGAGCCCUAUGAAAAGAUUGCAUUAUUAAAUAUUUCUGGGUCUUUUACCUAGGUGAUGUGACUUUUCUUUCUGGCUUGUCCUCUCAGAGGGUAUUGUGACAUGUUGCUGAAUGCAGCAUUUAGGUGAUACGACCCUUCCUCUACUGCUUGGACUCUGACCAAAAAGGGAUUGUGAUGCAUCACUGGGCCCAGCACCUACGUAAUGGGACUCUUUUCUCUUGCCUGGACCCUACAAAUAUUUUGCAUUGUGACGUGUAGCUGGGUCUGCCACCCAGGUAAUGUGAGUCUUCCACAUAAGCCCUGGCCACAAGAGUAUUAUGAAAUAACUUUUUAUUCAUCACCUAGGUAGUGAUGUGACUCUUCAUCAGCCUGUACCCUGCCACAAGGGAAUUGUGUUGUGUCAGUGGGUCCAGCACCUAGAUGAUGUAACUCAUCUUUUGGCUGGACCUUUCAUAUUUUACAUGUUGUUACAUAUCACUGCAUCUGACAUUAGGGGAUGAGAGGCUUCUGCCUGGGCCCUGCCCACAGAUGGCCUCGUGACAUAUUUUGGCAUCCAUCACCUAAGAAACGUGGCUCUCCUCACCUACAUGCACCAUGCACAAAGAAAAUAUUGUGGCAUAUCACUGGGAUCAGCCACCAGGUAUGUGUCUAUCCUCUCAGGGUGUUGCUCACAGAGAGCGUUGUAACAUAUCACUGGGCCCAGCACACAGGUGAUGUGACUUGUGGCCUGUGCCUAUCUAGCCUUUUUUUUUUUUUGAGGCAGAGUCUCACUCUGUUGCCCAGGUUGGAGUGCAGCGAUGUGAUCUUGGCUCACUGCAAAAUCUGCCUCCUGGGUUCAAGCAGUUCUCCUGCCUUAGCCUCCCAAGUAGCUGGGAUUACAGGCAUGCAUUACCACACCGUUCUAAUUUUUGUAUUUUUAGUAGAGGUGGAGUUUCACCAUGUUGGCCAGGCUGGUUUCUAACUCCUGACCUCAGGUGAUCCACUUGCCUUGGCCUCCCAAAGUGCUGGGACUACCAGCAUGAGCCACUGCACCCAGUCUACCUGCAGCCAUCUUAUAGGAUUAGAUUUUAAUCCAUCCCCAGCCAAGAACCUAGAUGAUGUGAUAUGACUCUCCUGUCUGGUCCUUGCCUUCAAAAAAGAUUGUGACAUACCUUUAGAUGAGACCCAGGUGAUGUCACUCUUCUGCUCACUUCCUACCCACCAGUGUCAUUGGGACAUAUAUCUUGCUUCAGCUUGCAAUUGCUAUGAUGAUUCUUAUACCUUGAACCAGGCAAUAAAAGAGUUAUAGUCUCUCCUAGCUAGGCUUAGGAAAACAAACAUAAUCCUUAGUCUCCUCUUUUUGCCAAGGUCAUAGAGAAUUAACACUCUCUCAAAUAUUCUAUAAAGCCCUCGGGUGGCACAGAGAGUGUCAUCAAGGGACAAAAACACUGAUGAUAUUGCGUUUCUUUUCUUUUCUUUCUUGGAGAUGGAGUCUCACUUUGUCACCCAGGCUAAAGUGCAGUGGCAUGAUCUCAGCUCACUGUAACCUCUGCCUCCUGAGUUCAAGUGAUUCUCCUGCCUCAGCCUCCCGAGUAGCUGGGACUACAGAUGUGUGCCACCAAGCCCAGCUAAUUUUGUAUUUUUAUUACAGAUGAGUUUUCACCAUGUUGGCCAGGCUGGUCUUGAACUCCUGACCUCAGGUGAUCUGCCCACCUUGGCCUCCCAAAAUGCUGGGAUUAUAGGUGUGAGCCACUGCUCCCAGCCCAAGAUUGUGUUUCUUAAAAGAACAUCCUGGCCAGGCUCAAGCCUGUAAUCCCAGCACUUUGGGAGGCCGAGGCAGGUGGAUCACGAGGUCAGGAGUUCAAGACCAGCCUGGCCAACAUGGUGAAACCCCAUCUCUACUAAAAAUAUAAGAACUCUCCAGGCGUGGUGGCGGGUGUCUAAUCCCAGCUACUCAGGAGGCUGAGGCAGGAGAAUUGCUUGAACCCAGGAGGCAGAGGUUGCAGUGAGCCAAGAUCACGCCACUGCCGUUCAGCCUUGGUGACAGAGUGAGACUCCAUCUCAAAAAAAAAAAAAAAAAAAAAAAGAAUAUUCUGCCAGGUGUGGUGGCUCACACCUGUAAUCUCAGCACUUUGGGAGGCCGGCUCACGCCUGUAAUCUCAGCACUUUGGGAGGCCGAGGUGGGCGGAUCACAAGGUUAGGAGAUUGAGACCAUCCUGACUAACAUGGUAAAACCCCAUCUCUACUAAAAAUACAAAAAAUUAGCCAGAUGUGGUGGCACAUGCCUGUAGUCCCAGCUACUCAGGAGGCUGAGGCAGGAGAAUCACUUGAACCCAGGAGGCCACUACACUCCAGCCUGGGCAGCAGAGUGAGACUUUGUCUCAAAAGGAAAAAGAAAUAAAAACAUCCUGCCGCUCAUUACAAUUGUAACCUCAAAAUAGAGCCCACUGGUGAGGUCCUGAAUCUCAUAUGCAGAUGCAGUCCACAGUUGGAAUUGUGACUGUGAUAUGCAAACAUCGAGCCAGGAAUGUCUCAUUUCUAAAGCUACAAAUGAUGACUCACUUCUAAAUGUAGUUCAUAGGCAGAUGAGGACUCUCCUAUAUUGAUCAGCCAAUUGGAGAGAUGUUGACUCUCAUUUCUGGGAUUAGAGCAGCAUGUACUAUCAAGGGUCCAUACCAUCACAAAUGUCUUAGAGUGGAUUGCGACUCACAUGCAUAUUGCAUAAAGUCCUCAGGUAAUGCAUUGAAUGCCCUUACAUGGCCCAGCACACAGGUGACAUUGUGAUGCUGGUUUUCACAACCAGUCAACAGUAAAUAUGUCAUCCUUUUAGAAAAACACAACCUACUUCUGAAGUUCUGAAUCUCAACCCUGGAGGCAGUGGGAAGUUGCAAAGUUGACUCCCAUGUGUGGAUCUGCUCCACAGCUGGGCUGGUGACUCAGACCAAGAUUCAGUGCACCUGUGAGGCUAUGAUUUUACUGAGAAGACAGAGUCUAAAGGAGAGAUUGAGGCUCUUUUUCAUGAAUUCAUCCAUAUUGAGAUUGUGAUUUCUGCACUUAGACCCAACCUCCAAAUGGUCUUGCCUCUCAUACCUAGAAUGGGAAUAUGUGAGGAAUUAUUCAUGUUAUUCCUGAGCCUUUCUGCAUGUGUGAUUGUGACACACAUCUCUGCUCAAAACCUGAGGAAUUUGACUCUCCUGCCUGGGCCUGGCACACAGAUGGGAUUGGGACAUAUUGUUUGAAGCAGUAUUUAGAUGAUGUGACCCUAUACUCUUUCCUUGUUCCUGUCACAGAGUACAUUGUGACAUAUCACUGGUCCCUGCACCCAGGUAAUUUGUUUGUCUUUUUUAUGCCCUGCCCACAUGGGCUAUUGUAACAUAUUGCUGGGUCUAACACCCAGGUAAUAUGAAUCUCCUACCUAUAUCCUGACUACAGGGGCCAAUUUUGCCAUAUUUCUGAACCCGUCAUCUAUUUGAUGUUACUCUCCACUUUUUUUUUCUUGGUUUUAAGGAGUGGAGAGUUUAAUAGGCAAGAAGGAAGGGAGAAGACAGAAAGAAGAAGCUCCCCUAUGCAGAGACAGAGGGAGGGGAGCUCCAAAGCCAAAAGAGAAGGCCCCCUACUCUCGACUUUUACAUAGGCUUUUCCCUAAGAGACAUUGUAACAUAUCUGGGCCAAGCACCUACGUGAUGUUACUCUUUGCUCCUUCCUGGGCCCUGACCAAGAAGGGGGAGUGACUAAUCCCUAGGCACAGCACACAGGUGAUGUAAUAUUUCUGCCUGUUCCCUGUCCACAGGAGACAUAGUGAAUGUCCCUGGCCUACUAAACAAGAUGAUAUGACUAUUUUUUGUCUCUGAGACCUGUCAACAGUGGGGAUUGUGACAGAUCACUUGUCUCAGCACCUACAUAAUUUUUCCCCAUGCCUGGGUGCUUCCCACUGGGGUGAUUGUGGCGUAUAACUAGGUGAAGGGCCUAGGUUAUGCGACUUUUCUCUUCUACGUGAGCCUCACCCACAUAGGGCAUUUUGACAUACCUCUGAAGCUCUAAUUUAGGUAGACUGCUGCAUGGACCCUUCAUUUUUCAGGAAGUAUUGUGCCAUAUUUUUUUGACCUAGCUAUAAUGCUUCUAAUGCCACUGCACUCCAGCCUGGGUGACAGAGUGAGACUACAUCUCUUCUAAUGCUUGGGCUCUGCCCAAGGAGGGAUUGUGAUGUAUUGCUGGGCCCAGCACCUUGGUGAUGUGACUCUCCUCUGCUUCUACAGGGUUCAGGACGGAAAGGAGAGUUACAUCACUUAGGUGAUGAACAAAAUGAUAUGUCAUAAUUCCCCUAUUAGCAGGGCUCAUGCAGGAGAGUCACAUCACCUAGGUGUUGGACUCAGCCAUAUUUCAAUAUGCAAAUUGUAUAUUGUGUUUAUUAAAAAUUGUAUAUAUUGAAAUAUGGCUGGGUCCAACAGGUAGAUGGUGUGAUUCUCCUGCUUGAGCCCUUCUAAUAGGGAAAUUAUGACAUAAUCAUUUUGUUUAUAACCUAAGUGAUGUAACUGUCCUUUUCUACUUGAGCUCUGUAUAAAGGGGGGAUUGUGACAUAUCACUGGACCCAGCAUCUGGUGGUACCAGUCUCUUUCUGUUUUUCUUUUUCAUUUUUUUUUUUUCUUCUGAGAUGUAGUCUCGCUCUGUCACCCAGGCUGGAGUGCAGUGGCAUGAUCUCGGCUCACUGCAACAGCCACCUCCUGGGUUCAAGCAAUUCUCCUGCCUCAGCCUCCCGAGUAGCUGGGGUUAGAGGCAUGCACCACCACACCUGGCUAAUUUUUGUAUUUUUCGUAGAGAUGGGGUUUCGCCAUGUUGGCCAGGCUGGUCUCGAACUCCUGACCUCAAGCGAUCUACCUGCCUCCGCCUCCCAAAGUGCUGAUAUUACAGGUGUGAGCCACUGUGCCACGCCUUAUUACCCUCCUCAUCAGCCCUGUGUAUUUUGGGUAUUAAGACAUAUUUCUGGGUCAAACCAAAUGGGUGAAAGGCUCUUGCCUGGGCCCUGCCCACAAGAGGCCUUGUGACACAUCUCUGCAUCCACUGCUUUGGAGGUGUGACUCUCCUCUUCCAUCUGCACCAUGACCACACAGAAAAUUGUGAC
rnacentral:lncRNA from 1 species